rnacentral:rRNA from 1 species
GCACUAAUGGGCGCUAAGCCUGAUGCAGUCCAUGCCGCGUGUAUUGAAGAAGGCCUUCGGGUUGUAAAGUACUUUCAGCAGUGAGGAAGGUGGGUAUGUUAAUAGCAUAUUCAUUUGACGUUAGCUGCAGAAGAAGCUACCGGCUAACUCCGUGCCAGCAGCCGUCGGUAAUACGGAGGGUGCGAGCGUUAAUCGGAAUUACUGGGCGUAAAGCGCAUGCAGGUGGUUUGUUAAGUCAGAUGUGAAAGCCCGGGGCUCAACCUCGGAAUUGCAUUUGAAACUGGCAAACUAGAGUACUGUAGAGGGGGUAGAAUUUCAGGUGUAGCGGUGAAAUGCGUAGAGAUCUGAAGGAAUACCGGUGGCGAAGGCGGCCCCCUGGACAGAUACUGACACUCAGAUGCGAAAGCGUGGGGAGCAAACAGGAUUAGAUACCCUGGUAG